GGCGGCAGAGCGAGGGGCGGCGCGGGGCUCCUCUCGCGCCUCGGGCUCGCGGCUUUUGCCGCUUUCAGCAGAAAUCCGCCGCUCUUGAGCGGCUGCGGGGCGGGCGGCCGCCGCGCCACUCCCCGCCGCUGGGCGUGCGGCGUGAGGGGGAGGCCGGGGCGGCUGGGCAGGGAGAGGGCCGCUUUCGUGCGAGCGGUGAGGCUGUUCGUAAGGGAACGGAGCGUAACGCUCACCGAGCGAGGGAAGCGUGCUGCCGGGGGGGCGUCUUAGGCGGCGGUCGCUUUGCGCCUUCCCCGCUCCUCGUGACUGAGGUAUCUGCGCGCUGCCGGCUUCGAGCGCCCGCCGGGCGGCUGCGGGGCCUCAGCUGGCGCAGACUGGUGCGGGGCCCUGACACACACCUCGUCCUACGUGUCCGGCCCUGACUGAUGGGAGGACGCGAGGCGGCAAAACUCAUCAGUGUUAAUUAAUUCCUGGUAUGUUGUCUUUCUUGGUGAUGAAGACAAAUUGCCUUUUCCAAGACUGAGUCCGUCCGUGUUAACAAUUACAGAAGCCCCGCUUGAAGAACGCUGCUGAGAAUAAAGCUGUUAUCCCAGCCCGGGGCUGCGCUGAGGCCCGUGUUUUCCGAGCUGCUGAUGGGCGGCACUGCCGGUGUUUUAAAAAACAGUAAGCACUGCACCCUCAUUCCCAGCCAAAACGGGGAGGAAAAGUGGGAAGUGAAGCUGCUCCACAGCAACAGGGACAGACUGGGCAGAGGGCGUUUCUUCAAGUAAAGGGUCUUCCCUAUCCGUAAACACGUGUGUGGGUGCGGGCUUUGACCCCCGGCUUCAUGCUCCUUCCCACCAAAGAGCUCAGCACGGGCUGGGGCCGGCUCAGAAGGAUGCCCGUUUCUCACACUGCACCUCGGGAGCUGUUGGUUGUCUCGAGCGGGGCUAUCUCCAGCGCUUCCAUCCUCGCAGAAGAGCUGGAUGUGAAUAAUAAAUUGCUCUUUCUCAUAAAUACACCCACAAAGGUGGCAAUGCGCAUGUUGGCAGGGAGAGGAGAGGGAAGGUUAGCGCAGUGAGUGCUGCUGAAGGUCCUCCGGGCAGUCGUUACCGAUUCCAGGCAUGCCUCAAGCUGGCACAGCGAUGCCUUUCUGGGACACCUUGAAGAACAGAGGACUCAUCUAAGGUGGUCAUAUCUGGAUGCACUGACCUUACUCCUGGCAGAUAGCCACUCUCCUUACUCUGGCUCAACCAUGCUGCCCAUCAGAGAGCAAUGCAAUCUCACGUGGAGGAGAAGCACUACCAUCACACAGCUGGGCUUAAGGGCACUGAGGUCUGCACAUAGAGGUAAAGGGUGCAGGUUUGGACCUGCAGAAAGUGCAAGGGAGAACAUUUCAGCCCUAGCACAGAUUUGUCCUGAAAUAGGUAAAGACAAUAGCCUGGCUGGUGGAAGGAUUUUUUAGGCCAGCCCCAAACUUAUCAUUGCUGCACUUGCUGAAAUGUUGGGAAGAUGCAGGGGGUGGUAUGCCUGACCAUAUCAUAGCAGUUAUGGGUCUUGGCAUCUGGGAAGAGGGAAAGGCUUCUAUUUUUGGCAUUACAGGGCCGUGGGAGUGGUUAGUCCUUAUGAAAGGAAAGAAAACGUUUCCUUGUUCCUUCUGCUCCUUUGAAGAAAGAGUAGAGGUGAUUUCGCUGUUUUCUGGAAAGAGUUUGAAUUUCUCAUUGCCUGCCACAGGAUCCUUGGCAACAAUCUUUUCUGCCCUCUCUGAGCUGGGAGUGUAGAAUUGCCCCCUGCACUUAGCUGGGUUUCUGCAAUACUCCAGUGUACACAGAUUCACAAUUUUGGUUGGUCUGAUUGAUUUCCCUCGUCGUAUUUCCAGCCCUGCUGACCCCAGGAGUGAUAGUGAGCGUGUGCAUAAUGGGUACCCAGCAGGGAAGGCUGAGUUGCUGGGAACUCUGUGGUGUUGUUUGCUUCAUUGCUUUAAACUGGACAGUGACAAAGUGCCAUAAAGCCAUAGGGUUGUAUAUCAAUGUAUGGUUUAAACAUUUCACUGAAUUUAUUCCCUUUGGUACCAAUGAAACAGUUACACUUAGAUCCCCUGUAUGCAGCUCAGGAUACAGUUUUAAACCCCAUGGUCUUCAUAGGUGGCAAAAGUACUGAAGCUCUUUCUCCAGCAGGGGCAAGUCGUUCUAGGUGUGUAAGCUAUGAGUUGUUUCUGCUGUCACAUCUGUGUAUUGUCCUGUCAUCUGUGUUUCUUCCUUUCCCCCAUUGGAGUUUUAGGGUUAACGCAGCUUUCCUGCACUUACAGCUUGCAACAAGGCUGUUAAAAAGCAUUGGUCCUUCAGCCAAUGUCCAUCCUGAGGAGGAAGAGGCUGGGCCCGUACGCAGGUAGUACUGAGGCUGUUAGUGGUUGUGAAGCCACUUGUGUAAAGUGAAGAGGAGGACUGGCACUGAGAAGCCUGCUGAGUUUGCAGCUGUAGCCUCUCCAGGAGUGGGUGCAGAAAGCUAUUGCCAAGCAAGCAGGCUCAUUUUGAUGGUGGUGAGCUGACAGGUGGCAUGGCUGGAGGAGGCUUCCAGAGGUGCAAUGGGACAUCUCUAAAGCCAGCUUCAGACCUCAGUUUCCUAGAGGAAGGCCUCUGCUGUUGGCCCCACAUCUUCCCCCUGCCCCUGCACAGCACUAUUUCAGUGACCUGAAAAGUAGUUCAGUAUUGCACAUUUCCUAAAUUUUUCUAAACCUUCUCUAAACUGUGUAACCAUACUGCCAGGAAGGAUGCUGAAGGUCCCAUCUCUUCCCUUCAGCAGCUCAUCCUGGGGAAGUACAAUGAGGACAUGAGGAAGAACCUUUUUUUUCCUCUUUUUUUUUUUCCUAAUAGUGUGAGGAGCAAAAUAUGUAGGUUACAUCCCACGUCACAGACACACCAUUUUGCUGUCACUUCUCCAGCAUGUUUACUUUACACUGCUCCUCUCCAGACAGGCUCACUGGGGAGCAAGAGUCAGGUUUUACUCACAAGUGUCUGUGUGGGUGUUUCCACCUUGCAUUUUUUACUUUUCCACACCAUCCACAGUUUUCACACAGCUCCUCUCAAUGCAGAUGUUCGUGGUGCAUGGAGAGCUUUCCCUUUUUGCGGUGUCCGUGAGGGGAAAGCACAAGUGGAUGCUUACCGUUGCCCCUUAGGGCAACACAAAAUCUGAGGACAGGGAGACAUCAGAGAGAUGCAAAUUGUGGUGCUAUGAUCCUGUUCUGCAUUGCCAAGAAGGUAGAUCUCAAUAGAAAUACUUAAACGAGAGCUAAAGCUGAAUACACUUCAUCUUCUGGCAGGUGCAGCCCAAAAACAGAAUCCCAAGGACAACUGAGACAGAAGUGAUUUCCCUUCCUGUGUCUAUCCAUGGGAGCUGGCAUAGCUGUGGCAUCUGCCAGAGCUGGGAGGUGAUGCUGUAUCAUAUAGUCAUUGCAUUCGCCUUGCACGUGGCACUGCUUGGUGUGUAGCUGCAUCUCUGCACCAGGCCUGCAUGGCUGGAGGUGCUUCCUGGCUUGUGAGCUGCCCUCUGAAUCUCCAGUGAUAGAUAGAUAGAUAGGUGACUAGCAUGAAGCACUGCAGGUUCCUGUGUCUUUCCUCCUUCCUAAAAACAGGCAUCAUUUGACUCCUUUCCAUUCUAAAUCAGUGCCCUGUGGACAAUGCAGUGCCUUUAAUUGCAGGGCAGAUAAUGAGCACCCUCCAGGGUUAGAGACGCAUGGGUUUAACCCAUAAUCACAACUUAGGGCAUCCAACAGUCUUGGUGGACUUUGCAAGCUGAUUGGUGGCCAGAUGCAGAUGUUUGGUGGGAAAGCAAGACAUGCCAUCCUGAAGCAGAAUCGUUAUACAAGUAGCUCAGUUCUCUGGACUGAGCUGAAAGACAAAGCCUGAUCCUUCAAGGGAAGGUUUGAAAUAACAGUUGAACAGACUCGAUCUGGUUCUGACCUAGAAGCUUUCUGUCUUUUGAGUCCUGAAGCUUUUACCACCCGUCUGUCCUUCUUUCCAGAAAGGCAUCAUGGCUGUGUAACGCUCCUCCUCACUCCUCUUGCCCUCCAGAUCCUUCUGCGAACCUAUAAAUCAUCUAAGAGCACACUGACGGUAGAGGUGUGAAGUUGUUCUCAAAUUUCUGGCGGUACCUGUGCUUCCAGCCUCUGGGGAUGAGAAAGGUCAGCGCACACAGAAGCAAAACAGAGACCUCUGCCUUCUGCCCAAAGUGAUCUGUGUGUUUCUGAACCUCUUUGCAAGGGCAGUCAUCAUUGCUAUUCCGUCAGUGUUCAGCAUCUGACAUAAACAGUCUCUGAUCGUAUUAGUAGGCUCUUAGGUACUUUUGCAGUACAAAUAAUAAAUAAUAAUGAGCUGCAAGGAGGACCUCUGAGUCUUGGAUGUCUGCUCAGGCUGGACUCUCAUGGCUCCCACCUGAUGGGAAGCGUCCAUUUUGUGGACACUUUGUGAAUGCUUCAGAGCUACUGUUGCCAACAGCGCUGCAAUGCCACUCAUAAGAGUGGCCCGGGGACAGAGGUGUCUUCGUGCUAGGAAUGAAGGAGAAGGUUGUCCUCAGGCCAGAGAAGCAUGCCUGAAGGCACGGUAGGAUGCAUUCCUGUGUAGUGGUGGUUUGGUGAUCUUGGUAUUGCUGAAGGCAGCAGGACUUCUCCUCAUGGAUUGGGUGGGAAGAGGUGCCAGCCCUGGGCAGAGGCUGAGGCUCUUUGUCCCUCUGCUGCACCCUGCAGUGUGACGAUAGGAUACAGUACCAUGGGUGAUACUGAAUGACAUGAGAAAGACAUUUCUAAGAGGAAUCUCUGGGUUGGUGGCCUUUAAAUGACUGAGUUGGAUUACACUCCAGAAAUCUGUAGAAAACCUUACCAUAAAAUGGAAGGAUUAGUGGAAUUGUUCAGCAGCUUGUAGCCAGGGUUUGUGUUAUUAUACACAUUGCACUGAACAAAGUGUUGGUUUGCCUUUGCUGUAGCCAGCAAGAGCUCUUUUUAGAAGAGCUGUCAUUGCAGCACAGAGCACAUGCAGCAAAGAGAAGCACCACAGGGAAUUCCCUUGCCAGUUGGUGCCUAUGCAAAGGAGAGGACUGUCCAGAAAGCAAGGGAUACAGAGCAUUGCUGGAUUUUUCUUUCUUGUCUUGUCACAGAUUAAGGAAAUUCAGUUCAUUCAAAACAAAACUUGUCUUCAGCAGGAAGCUGCAAGACUCUUACUGCGCUGUUUUCACAUCCUCUUGGGGUUUGUCUCUAAGAUCUGCUCCUUACAAAUAGCUACUGAAGAUGUGGCUCUCACAAUUAAGUGUGGAUGUGCAAAUUAACAAGGAAAUGCAUCAAUGCAAGGAAUGAAAAUCAAGGCUUCGAGCUCACUUUUCAGAGUGGGUCACGCUGGAUGCAGGCAGGUGUUGCAGCUGCUCAGGUGUGUGAAGAACAGAAUACCUGGCUUGACAUUAGCACACAACUCACAAAAGUGACCUAGCCACAUGUAAAUAGUGAGAACCAAAGCCAAACUCAAUUCCAGGCCAAACUCUCUGCUCUAGCUUAUCAGGUGGGCUCUGCUGGCUUUACCAGUGUGACACAAAGACAUCACCACAUCACCUAAGUACUGCAGCAUUUCUCCCUCUGAAAAGUAUCUAUUUGGUGAUUGUUGUCAAAUGGAAGGAGAUAAAUGGUCCUUCCUUUGGGCAGCCCCUUCCCAUCCCAGUACCACUGCACUUCCAGGAUUUCUCUGUCUCUCAGCCUUAAUCCUACCUGAAGACAGACCUUUGAACAAAGCCCUGUAGACAGUAAGAACCGCUCACAGCCAAGUUCUUCUGGGAGCUCAGCCCUCCUCCACCCAGCCACUAUGGACUGCUGAAAGGACUGUGGGAGGAACCUGUCCUUGGCCUGGCUCCCACCAUGCUUUUUGUUCCUUUGAUUUCACUUGAAGGUUAAUGGGGAUCUGCUGAGCAUCUUGCACUGUUCCAGCAGGUGUUGUGCAGGGGGCCAGGUGGAUAGUUGGCUGCUGGUAGAAGGACAGUAAUAUCAAAAGAGCGCCCUCAGUCUUGAGGUGUUUGUUGUACAUUGCUGCUGAUGAGUUAAAUACAACAGAGAUGAAGCUUUGUCCAACAUCACAAAGUGAGUCAUAAUCCAGAAAAAAAAAAGGAUUCCUUCAUAUUGCAGAUUAAUGCCAAGAGACUGGCCUGUGGAUGCUGUACCUGCUCCCUUGGAGCCUUCUGCAAUGGGAGAAUACUCCCGGCUCCCCACAUCAAUUUGUGAGUAGAGAGCUCUGCUGAGCUGUCAUUUCCUCCAGGGCAGCGCUCAGCAGGGUAGCCAGCAGUUUGUCAUCCCUGCCUUUUCUACCCAUAGCAAUUGCUGCCACCAGUGAGUAAUUGGUUAUUUCUAUUAAAGCCACGGGGAAUGUUAUGAGAUUAUUUUAUAAGGGGUGGGGGAAAUCAUUUGGUAAAAUGGAGGUCACCAACAUAGCCUCCCUCUUCUGUAAUGGCGGGUAAAUACCUGCAGAAGGCAAGCUGGGCCUUUUUUCUUUCUGAGGAAAGAAACAAAGAGGUAAUACAAGUGAUAAGUGGCAGCUGAGAAGAUCUGAGUCUUGUUCUGUAGUCCCCUGCCUUGAAAGCUGGUUUGUGGGUGGCUGAGGAUAAAGAUGCUGGGUGUAAUCAUUCCUGCCAGAGCUCUGUAAAGUAAAAGGCAGGUGCCAUUGUGUAUGUUGGAUUCGUGCUGAUUUCUGAAGCCAGGAGUUAAGAAACUGUGCAUAGCCUUGGAAAAAUGAAGGCAGAGGGAGAUGUGCAUCCCUCCAUAAACUCUCACAAAUUCCUGGAAGCAGGAAAGUACCAGCUGCUUCUGUCUCUGACAUCACUUCUUCUCCAUGGCAACGCAGAAAGACAUCACUGGGUGUUUGACAGAGGAGUCACAGGAGCUUGCGUGGCUGGGACGAGUGACAUACAGUGUUACCUUGAGAAGGCCUCAGCCAUGAGCCUGCCUCCCUUCGGCUGCUCCACCCUGGGUAUACCUGGGCUUACCAGGAGCCAACUGGGGAGCAUGAAUGCCUGGCUGAACAUUUGCACCCUCGCAGUUUUCAAGUGUGUUGUCCUACUGCAGCGAGAAACGGUGAUUCACCCCUUUCUGGGAUGAGCCACUACAUCCUGCAUAUAUUUUUAAUCAUUUUUAUGAACCUAUUCACUGAAUUCUGCACACAUUCGAGUACAUUGUUCAUCAGUGGACGUGAUGAAUUUUAGCAGAGUAUUCCUACAAAAACUUUCACCCAGCUCUUGUAGUGUUAAUGUGACCAUGACCUUGUAAAUGGGCAGGACUGCAAGCAUUGUGCCAGAACUGGGGAUGCAUAGUCAUUCUCCUUAAGAAGAGCAACUGCAGCAGGAGCUUGCUCUGGUUUGCUUUGAAGUCAAUGGCAAGUUUCCCAUUGGCUUAAGUAAGAACAUGUGUUUACGGAAAUGAAUAAUACUGCUCCUCGCUUUUCCAAGUUUUGUAUGAUCAAGGCACGGCCUGAGUUGACCUGGAGACUCAGCCUGUUCAGCUUCCAUCUCUCAGCUGUGCAGCAGGCAUUACGAGUUUGAUUUGUGUGGAAGAGAGUUCCAUACUACUGGUAUCUUAGAUUAUGAGCAUUAAUUGGGUUAGGACUAAUGAACUCUGAAGGUUUCCUUGUUUUCCACUGGUAAUUUUCACUUUAAAUUGGGCUUGGACAGAGUGUGUGUCAAGGAGCACAGCACUUCUAUUUUUCAUGUGUGUAUUGCUCCUACUUCAGAUGAGCUGCCUGUGAGGACAGCGUUGCCGUGGCCCUGUCUGGGGAGGAAGCUCUCACUGCUCACACAACCCUUUUCUCCCCACACAGUGCAUGCAGGUCAGGACUAUCGCCCACUGCCAGCACUGGAUGGGGUGCUUUUGCUGCCAAUGUCCCCAAGCCCCCGAUGACAGGUACCUCGGGAGCAGGUGGGCUUUGAAGCUCCAGACAGAACACUGUAGCAAGGCUAGCAGCGAUGUCACUGGGGACCUGUCCCCCAAGGGCCACCUCAUGUCUGCUGAAGCAGAGGGAUUCUGAAAGGGCACUACUGUUUUUCUUGGCAUUGAUUGCAGGCUGAAUGCUUAUUGAAGCAACUGCCUCUAAUAGCUCAGGAGAGGCCUUUAUGGUCUGCUGUGGCAGUGACCUACAGAUAAUGGCUACCUCCGAGAUUUUCACACUUCCUCAUGAUCCUCAUACUGGGUACAUUAAAGCUGACCUGCAAAGAAGGAUGUUUUAUUUUUCUUAAAAGGCUUCAUAGUGUUCUAUGAUGUGCCAGUAUUUUUGGUGCGUUGUUUCUUUCUUGGGGAUGACAUUAUAACAUUAUGGUGUGGGAAUACAAACUGCUUACUUUUCACUUUAGAAAUAGCAGGACCAUCUAGUCCCAUGUGCACAGAGUGGAGGAAAUGUGUGGGUUUUAGGGCAGGGGGUCCAUAUCCCUACCGGAGGGGCAGAGGUGCCAAAGAGUAACCAGGGGAAGCUUCUCCUCCAGUCCCUCAGCAGAAAGGGCUGCAGAGGUUUCCAUCUGGAAUGAGUUUCCUUUGGGACAUGCGGCUUUUCUUUUGAAAGUGAGGCGUUUUGUGAGAAUGUGUCAAUGUGAGCAUUACAUUCAACAGGAAAGGCAACGUGAAUCAUUUGGGCUUUUCUGUUUUGUUUCAUUCAUGUCAAAAUGCCUUGUUUUGAUAGAGACAGCAUUGUCAUUUCCGUGAUAUCAAAAUGUUUUACCAGCUCCUGCUCAUUUCGUUCUGUUUUGUACUAACCGUAAACAUACGGUUCUUAAGUUAUUAAUUUAUCGUUAUCUUUAGAUGAUAUUUGAUACUGUAUCUGAUUUGAGGCGUGCAAUUGUUUUGACAUCUAAGCCAAGUGUGUUUUUAGUGAAAUGAAACAAAAUGAAAUGAAGAUGCCGAGACAAAACAACGCACUGCGUGUUGAAAUUAAUUUUCUGAUUUCUUAAUCCAAAAAAAAAAAAAAAAGAAAGAAAGAAAGAAAAAAGAACCACUCGUUUUUAAAAUUUUUCUCUUCCUAAUGGGAAAUGCAUCUAUAUGCCUGGGUGUGAGGCUGUAGAAAGCAUCUCUGGUGCUUAUGAACUUGUAGCUGGCUGCGAUGGGAUCUUGCUAUUCUGCCAUUGCUUCCCACGUGAGAGGGUGCUACCUCUGCCUUGUGCUUGGGUCAUACUGUGCCAAGGGCACACGGCUAUGAGGCACAGGAGGAGGAGAAACUCUCUAGGUAUCAGGGCAAGCAUCUACCUCUGGGUGCUGGGAUCUGUUACCAGCAUUGCUAACUUGUGUGAUGCUUCCAAAUUACGCUGCGAUAAUGGCAUUUAUACAUCACGCUUUGAAGAUGCUCUUUAUUGACUUAAUGUGAAUAUUAUUGCCAUCGUUUAUUACGGGGAAGUAUCUCAUAGUAAUUGAAAUACAAUAUGGUGCCAUUAAUCACUUCGAAUACAAACUGCUAACUUUUAACUGUUCAUAGUAUAUUAAACGCUCCUCUAACCAUAAAACAAUUAGACUUGCAGUCAGAUAGUUUAGAAAUGGCCAAUGGUUAAGAUUCAUGAUGAUUGGCGUUUAUGUGGCCAUGUUUACAUUUCUGUGUUUGAGCAACAUGUUUCCUUUGGAGCUUCUGCGAAGGAAUCGAGCCUUGCAGCUUUUUGUUUGCUGAUGAAGAAGUGUAAGCAGGUGUAAACUGGAGGCACAGUAGUUGCCUAACAGCACCUCCGGCGCAUAAUGGAGAUAGGAGUCUGUAGCGCACAGCCGGCUGCGUACAGUGAGUGUUGUUCCUAUGUAUCACCAGCAUUCUUUCCCCAGAAUUCCUGGUGAAGGAAAGUGGUAAGAAAGAGACAAAUUCACAGAAUCUUUAAGGUUGCAAAAGACCAAUAAGAUCACGUAGUCCAACUGUGAGGUUUUGGGCAUACUGAGGUUUUGGGCGGUGACUGCUAAAAUAAAGCUCCUCUGCUUUCACGGGAUGCUUUUUGAAAUUAUCCUCUCUGUCCUGCGUUACUUAGAAAGGAAAGGAUUUUCCACUUUGGAAGAUAAUUUUCAAUUAGAAAAUUACCUGUCUACCAAUAAGGCUAUCAUUCAAACUGCCGUCAUAGGAAAGCUAUGCCAGUACCCCCUGCAGUACUUGAGCCAGCUGGGACAAAUCCCCUCCGGAUCUGCCCGGCUCCCAGCUCGAUGGAGCAGCUCCAGCCCAGGAUGGGCGUGGGGACCCUGCAGGGCAGCAACGUUUGGUUGGACAAGAGGCAGCAUUUUAGAAAGCUCCAACAUUUGCUCCUGCGGCUGCUCUGCGAAGCCUGGCUAUUCAAAUGCUUGCAGGAGCCUCCCUUUUUGCUGCCAGAUUUUAAAAAGCAUACUUCAAUGGCACUCACAGGAGGUGAGGAGAUGUGUAAGGUCACUUCUCAGGGCACGUUUUAAAGAUUUUCCAAGAAGAGCGGAGCGAGGUCUUUCUGCUGGGGGAGGGGCUUCUUUUCUUAGCUGGAGCUUUUAUUGUCAAUAUGUAUUUUUAAUAAAAGGGAAGUGAUAGAAGCGGUAGCGAGUGACAGAGCCCUGCGUUGUUCAGCUGCUGACAUUUAUAAGACAAUGCCAACGUCUCUUCAAAACAGACUCCUGCUUGCCCCUACUGUAUUGAUGUACACAUUUAUUGUACGACUGACAGCGGCGAGAUGAAAAUGAUAAUGUAUGAAAAAAUCCCAGAGGCGCAGACCGGCAGUUUUGCAAUGCAGGCUCUUUGCCUUUGGCAUCCUUUGGAGGAUAACGGUCUUAGAUGAGUCACUGUGAAGCAGCACAGGCUACUCUUUCAUGCAGCCUCGAUACUCAUUUUUCCUGGUUUCUGGUGACACCAGCUGUGUAUAUCUUAAUCGUCUUGGCGCAUUUACAGUUCUUUCUCAAUUAUCUAUAAACAAACCGUGGCAAUUACAUGGCAGGUGAUGGCUGGAGUGAGCUGGUCAACUGUGAGAUUGUGCAGCGUGGUGGGCACAGGAGAAGUGAAAAAUAAAUAAACGCACUCUGGGUGCUGAGAAGGGAGCUGCAACCUUCCAAAUAGCAUAGCAGGACAGCAUAAAUUUACUGCACAGGCUCAGUGCAGACCAGAGGGUAAACGAGCACCGGGCGUCCAUCUGUAUUCAGUCCACAUGUCACUAUCCCAGCUGGGCAAGGUGCUCAUCCAGGGAGCGUGGAGGUGGGUUGGCCGGAGCUCAGUGCCCGCUGCUUCGGGGCCAUCCACAGCUGGCACAGAGCAGUGCCUGGGUUGAGGAGGAGGAGGCUGUCGUGUUAAGUUAGAGCCCAGCCCUGCAGAUCGGUUCUCCGUGAAGUAUUUUUGGUUGUGUAGGAACAGUCCCCGUGGCAGCAGGCUGACCUUCACUUGGAAGGAAAGCUUAUUCAUGGGGUGCGUUCUGUAGGAUACUCCUCACCCCAGGGAAACCGACACAGCAAUAUUAUUGUGAUGUUACGCACGAGCUUUUAUUUCCGAAUGAAAAAUGGAAAUAGAGAAUGCUCUCCACCUAUUGAUUCUUUGCAUUUGCAUACUUGGGUACAUAUGUUUGAUGUCUGUCUUUGUGUGCAGCUGUUUGCCAAACGUGACAGGAUUUGUUUUUUAAACCUGGGGGCGAGUUCUGCCCUGUGCAUUUAAAAUAAGAUUCCUCUGAAUUAUUGAAUAUGUCAAUAAAUAAAGCAGAGGAAGCAGGCAGGGAAAAACCCAGAGGUCCUUGGCAAAAGGAGGUUGUGGAUGCUGGCAAUAGGCUGUUACAGCAGGAAAGAAAAAGAAUAAAUAACAGUGAGGGCAACUUAAAAAAAAAAAACCAAACAAGUGUAAAGGACAAAGAGUUGGAUCGAAUAUCUCUGUUCUGCUUUUCUCUGGGUUGGAUGGUAAUUACGAGCUGGGCCCUGGACUGCUUUUCUUGUGCUCCUGUGAAUUUAAUUCCACCUUCUGGUGGAGGCUGAAGGAGAAGUGGAAUACUUGAAUAGAAGCCGAUGCGGAGUGGGGAGAUGGCUGGGCUGUGUCAGCGCUGCUCAGGGUGUCUGUGGGGUGGGAGCCACCAGCGCCUUGCAGCCGGGCAUGGGGCAGUGCUGGGGAGAGAGCUGGGGACCAGCAAGGAGGAGAAAUGCAUGCACCUUUCCAAACAGAGAGUUUUAGCUUGCAACACAGCUGAGCAAAGAGGAGAGGAAAAGGAAGAGGAAGGAAAAGGUCAGUCCCCAGAGAUGCUUACCCAUGGAGGGUGGGAUGUGCGAGGCUGCAGCCAUGUGUACUUGGCAUAGUCCAUAGCAGUGUGCUGUUUAGUGGCUGUCACCGAUCGGCUUGGAUGGAUGGCUCACCUGAGUGCCGGCCCUCCUGGUCACCCCAUGGGUGCGUGCAGGAGGAAGGAGCUUCCUUGUGAGAAAUCAUUUUGCAGACAGGGUUGCCCUGUCUACGUGCGGGGCAAAGCAUUCCCUUAAGCGAAUAGAGUGAGGGGAUUUUGCUGUAACUGUUGUGGGUUGGGGAGAGCGACUGCUGUGUAUUGGGAAACCAAAAUACUGCGAUUUUACCUUAAUUAUGUGAAGUGUGAAGGAGGAAGAGAGCAAUUGGGUAUUGAGAGCUGCGUGCACGUGGCUUGUGGGAGCAGUCACAUUCAUCACUGCAGGAAGGAAAGCGUGCCCCAUUUAUUCACAAGGUAUGCAGCACAGCCACCCCCCCCAAUGUGCUCUCUCAGCAGGAGAGGUCCCUCUGAUCAGCAGGGCUGGGGGCUGCCAGCACCUCAGCCGCAUGCUGAUGGGGCCCACCACUAAAACAUGGCAUUCUACAGAGCUCGUCAUCCCACCCCCAAAAUUAUAACAUCCCUUGCACUCCCCUCAAGAGAUCUUGCGUGAGCAACCAUUUAAAUGAAUGUUGCAUUAUUUACAAGUUCUGCCGUUAUUAAAUUAAUGUUACAUUCAUUGGAGUUUUUGUUGUGUUUUGUUUUCAAGGCAGGGCUGUAAUUUGAGCAACAUAUUCAUCAAGUCGGAAAUGGUGGCUCCAAUUAUUUUAACAUUCAUUCGCCCAUUCAGCUUCCUCUACAUCUGCCGGUUUCUUGGUGCGGCGGCGUGUCGGAGCGCUCGCUCACAACCCAGCCAGGGAUGUUUCUAUGCUGUUCAGCAGCAACAUCUCCGCAAGGGAGACAAUGGGAAAUGUUCAGUCUGGCACAGCUGAGGCUGCCGGAGCUCUGCUGCGAGGGCCAUUAGGCAUCGGUUGCGGCAGCAGUGCAUCCCUGGGUAUGGAUUUCCUUUCUCUGCUGGCGCAUCCCUCCUGGCUUCAGAGCAUGGGAAGUUGAGACUGGCAACUUAAAUUCGGGCUGAGUAACGAGAAGAGGCUCCAGCAAUUUGGCAGCACGGGAGCCUUCGUGCAGCAAUCUCACGUGUGUGUGGUAGUGAUGCUCAUCGUGGUGAGUGUGAGAUAAUUGAUUUAAAUCUGAAAGGAUAGUUUUGGUCACUGGGUAAGAGACAAAGCAUCAGCCCCUCAGCAAGUGCUGAAAAUAAGCCAGAAUAGCAAAAAGAUGCUUUGUUAUUUAUUUUGGUACUUGAAGUUUAGGCUUUCCUGACACGAUCAUAAAAUCUUGUGAUUUAUUAACGCUCCUCUCUUUGAAGCUACACCCCAUGCCCCCCAGGCCUCAGCUUGGGUCCAAUCCUUCCACCCAGCUCUGACAAGCACUGCUGGAGUACUGCCAUGCCAGCCCCACACAUGUGGUUGUCAGAGCUCCAGUCCUCCUGGGCAUGGGGCUCUCAAGGUGGUGUGGGUUUAAAAAAAAAUCAAUAUCUGUGCUCUCUUUUCUCUUUGUCUGUUUUUUUCCGUCUGUGAGACUCUCUUGAGCUAUUCCCUGCAACUGCGAGAGCUAACUGCAUGCUUAGGGUUUUUUUCUUUCCCAGAGGAGAUGGGAGACUUGGAUGAUUUGGGGCCUGCAGGAGUUCCUGUUUAAACCAUGGGAAGAGAUGGCCAUGAUGUGUGACUGUCCUUGUAGGACCAUCCCUGCACCUAUAUGGGGCUUCAUCUUCCAAAAGGAUCCCCCUUCUGCCUUGGCAGUGCUCUGAAGUGCUGGCGUCUCUCUGCUUUUGCCUGUGCACGUCUCAUUUUUCAGUUAGAUAUUUGCAAUCAAAUGUAUGCAAUCCAGUCUUUCAGUAUGGCUGGAUGGAGCCAGGCACAAGUUGCACCUCUCGUUCCACUGAACCUAGAAAAGGAGAUGGAUAACCUGCACUGAAAAGCAGAACAAUCAAAACGGUUAUUCGAAAUUGGAUUUUGCUGAGUACCUCCUAUUUCUAAGCAAGGGACAGUACAAAGCAGUGCUGGCCAGCAGCAGGUUCUCCAUGGGUGCAGCUGCCCAGGGCUGGCAAGGCCAAAUGUGGCAGGGAGCUGCUCAAAGGGGAGCGCAGUGUGGGGGAGGCAGGAUGGCGGUGCUCAGAAAGAUGAUGAAAUGUGGCCCUGCAAGACCCUCAGCAGUGGCUUGUUGGAUGUGCCUCUGCUCUGUUCAUUAAUCUGCGAUAAUUAGACUUUAUUUGCAGAGGUUAACAGCAGUGGCACAUGGUAAUUAACCACUCAUUCCCCACUAAAGGAGUCAUAAAGCUGCUUGCGUGACACUGGUCUGGCUGUGGGUAUUUUUGGUACCAAUGGGUGCUCCCAGGGAGUGAUGCACCCCUAAACCACUCCUGUGUGCCUGGCCCAUCCUGAGCUGGGGCUGCAAGAGGGGUCGGGGGAAAACAAACCCAAAUCCUCUGCUGUUUGCUCUGUGGCACAUCGCUGGCCAGCUGGGAGCUGUUAUUUCCCUAGGGCAGAGGCAAUUCUGCUCAAACACCUGCUGCUGCUGCUGCUGCUGCUGCUGCGGGCAGUAGCGUGCCCCCAGUUUUACAGAGCACUGCAUAUGGCAUUAGAGCUGGGACCAGCCUGGGAUUAGGGAAAAAGGAGCAGAAGUGUGGAUUUUGGACAAGAUCUCCCCCUCCCCUUUCGCUACUUCUCCCUCCCUUUCCCCACAUCCCCCUCCAGCAAAACCCAGCUAAUUAGCUGAAUAGAUGAGGAUAGGCCGGGCGGGAGGAAGCCCCGUUGCGUGCCCUAUAUUAGUAACCCAUGUGGGAGCAGCGGGAUUGGAGAGAGAUUGAAAGGAAAAAUUGUAGGUGUGGGUUGAAGAAGCGGGAUAAGCUUUCUCCCGACAUGACAAUGAUGUCAUCCUUCUCCAGUGCCAGCCAGCAGCACCGCAUCCAUCCCCCACAGCUUGAUGACCAGCAGGGAACCUCUUGCUCAGGGACUUCAGCCUUACGCAUUGGUGCUGCACCCUCCUCCCCAGCAGGACAGGGCAGGGCAGGCACAGCCAGAGCCUCACAGCAAUUCAGAGGAAACCCAAAGAGGUGCCCAGACACAGCCCCACUGGAAAGAGUGGCUACAGGAGGGGUCCAGUAGGAAGUGGGCAGCCAAGGUGGGGGUUUCAGUAGGCACACUGUCGCAUCUGUGCUCCUCUCUCUGAAGCAGCACCACUCUUCCCUACAGUUGUGUGCCAGCAGUGGGUCUGCCUGCAGACCCCUGAUUUUUGUUCCCCUGCCCAGGAGCCACUCCAACAGAGGCAGUGUUUGUUUGCAGUUACUGCCUUCACCCUGGGAUGGGGAGCUUGCUUCAAUUAUCAAGCAGGUGAGUGCAGCUGGUGGCUGCAAAACCUGUGGGUGCUGGAACAGCCCCUUGGAAUCAUCCAGUCCCUGUCUAUGUGUCCUAUGUCCUGCUGCCAGCUUCCAUGCUGCUUCCGUGGGAAAAAUCACAUGAGGAAAAUUGCUCACAGCUCCAGGAUGGCUUUUGCUGAUCCUACACCUCACUGCUUCAUUUCUCCCUUUGCUUUCCCAGCAGCCAUCCCUCACAGCUUAUCUUACUGCCUGCUUUUCCUUUCCUGGACCAUGCUGUGGUUGUAAUCCCAUGCACUUGCUCUACCACCUCUCAGGCAUUAGUUUGUCUUGUGCUCACACUGCCGUGCGUGUCUUCAUUUCACGUAUUCUAUCCAUCGUUUCAACUAUUUGGAGUAUCAAAUGAGUUUAUCAACUUCUUUCUCCUAAGUGACGGGACACGAGAGCUUCCAGAGCUCUAACACAAACUUUUCCAGUUCACAGGUAUGUCAUUGUACCCAGAAAUUAAAAACAGAAACUACUUCCGAAUUAGACCAAAGCUGAAAAAAUAGCUGUUUCCCCUGAAUUGGGAGAAUGUUGUGAGUAAGGCUGGGAGACUGUCCAUCUCUGGGCACGCACACCAGAGCAGUCAUGUCCUUACAGGUCCUUUCUGGGGGGCUUCAGUGACACUUUGUUGAACAGGAGAGAUGACAUGUCUCAGAAUGACAUUUUUCUAUGACUUUUUGAUUAGCUGCAGAAAUUAAUGCCUGCAUCUGUAGGAAAGACAUAGAUGGACACGUCUGUAGUGAUGAGAAUGAGCAUUUGGUUGGGAGGACAGUUCAUCCCCAGCCUUGCUGACAGGGCUCAGGGCUCCCGUGGUCCAGGAUUUCCUCUUACCAUCUGUCUCAUCAAAAGAAGUGCCGCAGAUCCCAGCACACAGGGCUCCAGUGCAAAAGCAAAGUGCCCUGCUAGUGCUGUCGCUCUCCAGAAAGGGGCUGCAUGCUGUGUUAGCUGCAUGCCCGUAGCCUGGGGGUCUCAGUUUAGAUCCUAGCCUGCAGCACCAUGGCUCCAUCUGCAAACCCUCGAGGGCUUUGUUUGGGUACUGCUGCCUGUCUGCUCUCCCACCAACACGCGCUGCACCAAGGGGUGCUUUCUGCUCUUCACCCAGGCGCUCCCACUGCAUAGCUUACUGGGGACACUGCUCAGAGAGGCAGCAAACGAUUGAGCCAUCCUCAGCCACACCUUACCACCUCUGCUUUAUAGGGGGGUUGUGGCUGACCCUCUUUAAGUUGUCAGCAGGGCAAGGACUCGCUGCUCCAGCUAUCAUGGCUCUGCCCAGGGCAGGCUGUAUCCCAAGCCUUAAGCUGCCCCAGCAAGGCAUCAGGCAGCCUGCAGACCUGGGCUGUGCCACCUCCCUUCCCCCACUUCAUUUUUUUUCAGAAGUGGAACACGAGAGUAAUAGGAACUGCACUGGGACAGCAGAAAUGUUCAGUGGUGAGAGCGCUACCACAAACUCAUCUUCUGAGCUACAGCUUUUUUUCUGGAAAAAAAAAAUAGAAAUGACCUCAAAUAAAAACCACUCCUUUGUGAGGCUUGCAGAAUGAAAAUUACUCCAAUGUUUCAAUUUUCACUUCAUGAAAACAGUUUCCCCAUUUUCCAACCAGCUAUUGCAAAAGGAUUUGCCAUUAGUAACAUAAGAAGCUUCACAUCUGGUCGAGGUUUCACCAUCAGACAAAGGGAAGGACGUCAGCGAGGCAUUAAAUGUAGAUAAUGGAUUAUCAACAGGGAAAGCAGCCCUUGGGGGGUGGGUGCGGGGCCGGGCGUCUUGAGGCACAAAGGAGACGUGGGAGGGCUGUGCCUGGCUCCGGGGCUCAUGCUGCUUCUGGGGGCGGCUGCGGCUGGUCCCCUGAUGCCUGCCAGACGUGGCCUGCAGGGAAGAAAUCAAAUAUUAACUGGUUCCUGCUCCCAGACCUGCAUGAGGACGAUGAGUGAACCGGGAGGGGGACUGGUGGAGCCAGGAGAACAGUAGGAAGCCAAGCACAAGCCAAGCGAUAAAUUAUUAGUGAGCGUGAGUAGGAAAGCUUUCAAAGGCAGAGUUGACAAAGACACUAGCAAAAUCCCCAGGUUAAGAAAGAGCCUUUGCUAAACUUGCGUAAAACCCAAUAAACACCUUUGGUGGGUUAAGAGAGCAGCCCUGGUUUUGGCAGAGGGCGAGUGGGAAGGAUCAAGGAGACAACGAAAUGCCCAGAAGGAAGUGGCAGGGAGCUCUUGUGGAGCUGAACAGCUCGGAGUGAAGAGGAAACUCAGCAGCUUUUACACUGCCGUGCAACACCCCAGAACCAGAAGCAGGGUACUCUCUGCAGAGCUUACUGCCUCAUGGAGAUCUGCUCAGCAUCUGCAAAAUGGGCUGAAGAGCCGUGCACAGAUGAAUAGAAAACCAGGACAGAGAGGCAGUGCCUCGUGCUGCCUCACCGCCCACCGUGGAAGCAGUUCAAGUUAAGGAUUCGCCUCCUCUGAAAGACGGUCCCUGGUCCAGAUCCUCCUGUUGUCAGCAAGGAGCCUGGCCCCAGCAGAGCCUGAUCAAGCUGGCUUGGGUCUGGUGAGAGCUCAUCCCUCAUACCUGAGCGGCAGAAAUCGAAGGGUGGCUCAGACCAAGAGGUCUGAGUGUCCCUGGCUGCCUAAGCAUCUGGGAACCUCAAACUUUAAACACAGGCAUCAUCACCAGUGCCUCUGUCCUGCUUCCAGGCAGGAGCAGGGGCAUCCCACAUGGGUUUGCCCACAUCCUGGUGAAGAUGAGCUAAGAUCUGGAGCAUCCACAUUUGUGCUGCCCUCCCUCUGCCUUCCCAGCACCUCCCUGCCAUGAGUUGUGAAAUGCAGGGGACUGGUGGAUUUAGCAAACCUGCAGAAACUGCACCUCCUGCGCUGAUGGUCACCAACCUGGAUGUUCCUGCUGCCCUUCACCCCUUGCAAUUAUGAACUGUAGUGAACAAGCACUGUAAAUAAGCUGCAGCAGCAGCUUGCCAGAUCUGGGAGCAUUUUUUUUGGAGCAAGCACAAGGAUGUUGCUUUGGACACUGGGCACAAAGAGAAUGACUAAGGCUGCUCGUCUGGGUGAGACAGGAGGACACGCGGCAGGGAGAUGUGGGUGUUGCAGGAGUUACUGCAAGGGUCUGGCCUCUUUGGCAACGGGUGUUAAUAACAAACCAAACAGGAACGCAGGACAGUAAGCAGCAUGCUCUGGUCACCUUUCCAGUGCUCAGCCAAACCACUGUAACUAAACUGUGAGUUAUUUUGUCUUCCUAGAGUCUUGAAGUUAAGCAGGGAUCCAAAUUUCUAAUGCGUGAAACGUAGCUUUGUACAAAUACAUACUCCCAAAUCUUUUUUUCUUUUCAGCACAGGGAAGUAAGCACUGGGCACGAGCCCAGAUUUCACUUUCCUUUGUGGGUCACCUUUAGGAAUUGAACAAAUGGAGGAUCUCGUUAUUAGAAUAGAAUACGACUGGAAACUUCAUCAGUGGCUGCGCUCACCUUGGCAUUCCUCCGACCUGUGACAGCAAAGACCUGGAGCUUCACAGCAUGAUGUUGUCCAGGAAUUUUCACAGGCUGGCUGGGAAAGGGCUCCGGACACCCAUUCAUCAGUAUGGAUUCACUGUAUCAAGGAGAUGCACCACAGCCUUUGCAAGGAAAAAGCCCUGUUCUUGACACAAAGGAAUGAUGAGAAGCACCAGGGGUGACAAGCAGGGAGGCUGACCUUGUGUCUUCUGGUGCCUGGAGCUGCUGGCAGCAGCUGGAAGAUGUCUAAGCUGUCCCUCUGCCCUAUCUCCAUGCAUCACUAUGUGGGAGCUGCCGCACGGUCAGCCCAGGCUCACAAGGCUUAUUUUGGCGUGAGGAUUUUGCCCUGGCCAAGCCAAUCUUUCCAUAUCCUCCAAAGACUUCUUUUUUUCCCCUGCAAAAUUUCAAGCCAUGCCGUUGCAAGCCUGAGGCAAGUGGGACCAUAGCGAACACCUCAGGUGCAGGACUAAGCAUUGCUCCCACAGGAUGCCAGCACUGCUUCCCAAAGCCUGGCCAGCCUGGCCAAGUGCAUGCCUCCCCCUUACUUACAUCCAGAGAACAAAUUAAAUAAACGCAGGAUGCAACAAGAUUUAUAACUUAA